GUCAGCUCGUGUCGUGAGAUGUUCGGUUAAGUCCGCUAACGAGCGCAACCUCGUCGUAUGUUAUAUGUGUCAUACGAGACUGCCGGUAAAAAGCCGGAGGAAGGUGAGGAUGAUGUCAAGUCAGCAUGACCUUUAUAUCCAGGGCUACACACACGCUACAAUGGUCUGUACAAUGGGUAGCCAAGCCGCGAGGCGGAGCCAAUCCUGAAAGCAGGCCUCAGUUCAGAUUGCAGUCUGCAACUCGACUGCAUGAAGCCGGAGUUGCUAGUAACCGCAGGUCAGCAAUACUGCGGUGAAUACGUUCCCGGGUCUU
rnacentral:rRNA from 1 species